AUCCAGCUGACGAGUCCCAAACAGGACGAAAUGCGCAUCCUGGAU
rfam:Trichobilharzia regenti genome assembly, scaffold: TRE_scaffold0030931